AUACGCUUCACCCUUCAGCAGCUCACUAAACUGUUUCCAAAGACGCCAGAACGUCGACAACUUACGAAAUGAAACAAUCAUUCCAACUUGCAGUACUUCUGCUCAUCGUAGCAAUGUGCUUCACAUACGCUGCUAAUACCUACAACGACGAGGUCAGCGAACCGCCUUGCGACUUCACAGGGUGCAAAAGUAAAGUCGUAAAGCGAGCUCCUAGCUCUGUUAUGUGUAUCGUUGUUAAUAGAACCAUGGUUUGUCCUUGGGGUUUUGCUGGGAUGGGAUAAAAAGUAGAGCAAACUCAUAUUCUUAAAAUAUAUAUAUAUACAUACCCAUGCCAAUAAAACAUCAAACCUCAAUAAACAUCAGGCUAACAUACAGUAUGCGCAAUUAAAAGUUGUAUUAAAACUUGCGAUGUACUCUUCUUGAUCCACCUAUAUGACAAAUAUCUGAAAUACAACUUAAAAUUGUUAUAUAUUACAAUAUAAUGUGCAUAGAAUGUGCGAAGAGAGUUAAUGAAAUACAUGGGUUAAAAGCAAUAAA